UACGUAGGGUGCAAGCGUUGUCCGGAAUUAUUGGGCGUAAAGAGCUCGUAGGCGGUCUGUCGCGUCUGCUGUGAAAAUCAGGGCUCAACCCUGGACCUGCAGUGGGUACGGGCAGACUAGAGUGCGGUAGGGGAGAUCGGAAUUCCUGGUGUAGCGGUGAAAUGCGCAGAUAUCAGGAGGAACACCGGUGGCGAAGGCGGAUCUCUGGGCCGUAACUGACGCUGAGGAGCGAAAGCAUGGGGAGCGAACAGGA
rnacentral:rRNA from 1 species